rnacentral:lncRNA from 10 species
GCUUAUUUGAUAAGUAUUGCACCUCCUAUGCUUCAUUUCCCAUAAAACUAACUGCUGCUUCCUCAGUAAUCAUUCAGCCCAAUUCAGUGCAUUCUGAUUGAACACCUAAUGCAUGCCAGGCUCUGUUCCUCCUCUUCAAAUGCCCUUCAAGGGUGUAAAAUCUAGUAGUAGAAGACAGACAAAACAAGUGCACACCCAUUGCUCUAAAAUAUAGCAGAAUAGCCAAAGAAGGGCAGAUCCUGCCCUGUUGAGAAAAUUUAAAAAGCUUCAGGGAAGAAAGGGCAUUUGAUUUUAAUCUUGAAAAACAGGUGGGAUAAGCAGAGAUUCACAGGUGGGUGAUCAGGAAAUCCAGAUGGAAGUCGUCAAGUAAUUAUAUGAGCAAGGACAUUAAGAGGAGAAAGCAUGGGCCAUAGCCAGAAAACAGCUGGAACAUUGGUUUGAAUGGAGAAGAAUAAAAGAUGUAAUUAGAAGGGUAUGUUUGUGUCAAAUAGAGGACUUGGAAGCCAAACUGAAAAAUAAUGGAGGACCACAGAAGCAGAGGAAACAAAAUCAGUUCUGAGUUUAGAAACAAGUCAGGUGGUGGUGUGUAGGCUGGAAUGACGAGGGAAAUUCUGAACUCUUGUGAUGGGAGAUGAGGAAGGAGGAUUUGCCCGUCAUCCCUGCUACAGGUAGGAAGGCCUAUGCUCAGGGAGUGAACACAGAAAUGAAAAUCAGAGAGGCGUGCCCAAGGUGCUAAAUGUGGGCUGAAAGAGAAAAAGGAGUAGUCCCGAAUAACUCAGAGGUUUCAUGCUUACGACUGGAGAAUGUUCCCCGAUUACAGCUUAUUAUCAUCUCACAUAUAUCAAAUGACCUUGCUUUGUGACUCAAGAAAUCACAGACUCAUAAUACUCUGUGGCUGGAAAGCAUCUCAGAGAUCCCAGAGAGAGGGCGACUGAGAACUGGCCAAGUUAAAUACUAUUUCAAAGACACUUGGCUGAUUAGUAGCAGAAGACUCAGGCAAGUAAGCCCAGGCCUCUGCAUCUUCCAUCAAACCGACUGCUGGUUUCCUGAUCAUCUUUACAAAGCUCUUCUAGGGGCAAUAUGCAAAAGGUGGUGGUGGUCAAGAGCAAGGUCGAGGCUCACCUGUGCCCAUUUGGUUCCGUACAUUGCUCACUAGAGGCAUCAUCGACAGAGUAUGAAUCAGCUCCCCAAUUAGCCUGACCGUAAUCACCUGUGUUGCUUGAUUAUUAUACAAAUUCCCCGACCUCAUACCGACCUACUGAAUCGAAAUCUCUAGGAGUAGAUUCUGGGAAUCUGUAUCGCUGGUAAAGCUCCCAGGUGAUUCCUAUAAUCUGGCAAUGUGGGAGACACGAGCAUUAAGGGAACCCAGCAACAGGCUCCAUCCUCUGCCUAACAUCAGCAACCUCAGCAGAGACUUGGUCCCAGGGACCUUGCUCCAUUAUGUACCCCAAGACACUGUCCCUAAAUGGUGCACAAAGCAGACUCAGGCCUGUCUCACACACUGGCAAAGCUGCUGCCCCCCAGCUCAAACCAGGUAGUCAGGCUUAGGAAAACCACCCUGCCUGCUGGUAAUUAGCCAUGUGAUGUUAAAGAAGCAGCUGUGGCUGUUUGGAAUAUGACUGUUCUGGAAGGACUUUUCUCCUCUUUUUCACCACCACACUCCCUCGAAUGACUCACAGUUCUCCACUUCCUGUUUUGGAGGCGCUGGCCGGCAUAUAGCCACAAGGGUAAGCUGUCAUUUGGCUUUUCUUUUGCAUUAUGUCAUUAUUUGACAUAAAUAUCACAUUUGUUCUUGCAAAUGCUCUCAGGAAGUGACAUCACAACUUCUGUUCUCUUUAUAAUGACAGAAUUACAAUGCCUUCUGGUAACUUGUCAAGAAUCAGAACAAUUUAUACAAUGUCCAUCCCUGGAAAGAUCUUUGCACAUUUACUGAACUUAAAUGAAUAUAAAAGCAGGAAAACCCUAAGUUUUAUUAUAAAUGGAUAUACAGAUAAUAUCGCCAGACUUUCUUUUUUGUAAUUUUAUAAUAUCUCACUUUUUUUUUUUUAACCUUGAUUUUACCGAAGGGUCAGCAGAGACAAAGGCAAUGUUGGUGAGGCCAUGUACAUUUUCAUCUCCUUGAGCUGGUACUGUGAGCAAGCUGUUCAUCUCUCCACGCCAACCUCAAUCUUCCUCUCUAAAAAAGGGACUGAUGCUACUUUCCUAAUCCUGCCAUGACCUUUGCAAAUAAAACACUUAACUGAACACACUGUAGUCCUCCAACUGAGGUAAAUUAAUUCCAUCCUAAUGCCAUCUGGAAUCCCAGAAGCAGUCAUUAAUUAUACAGUGUCUUGCCUGUAACUCAAUACAUGAAAAGACAAAAAGAUUUACCUAAAUGAUCUUUUCAGAAACCACUGCACACCCCCCAAGAUCAACCUUACAUAAAGGGCAACAUAUUCUGCCUUUGGGAAAUGAAACGAUGCCCCUGACCCACCAUCCAUAAAGGAUGUACUAUGAGACAUGAGUGCAAAGGACAAUCCUGACAUGUCCUAACAUGCAACCGACGUUUACCCAGGGACCAAAGGAAUGGAUGUAAUUUCUUGAGCUAAACUGCCCAAAUGCUUGUAUAUAGGGUCCUUUAGAAGUCUCUCUAUGUGGCCGGGUGUGGUGGUUCAAGCCUGUAAUCCUAGCACUUUGGGAGGUUGAGGCUGGUGGAUCACCUGAGGUCAGGAGUUCAAGACCAGCCUGACCAACAUGGCAAAACCUCGUCUCAACUAAAAAUACAAAAAUUAGCCAGGUGUGGUGGUGCACACCUAUAAUCCCAGCUACUCAG